AGAGUUUGAUCCUGGCUCAGAUUGAACGCUGGCGGAAUGCUUUACACAUGCAAGUCGAACGGCAGCACGGGGGCAACCCUGGUGGCGAGUGGCGAACGGGUGAGUAACACAUCGGAACGUGCCCAAUCGUGGGGGAUAACGUAGCGAAAGCUACGCUAAUACCGCAUACGAUCUACGGAUGAAAGCGGGGGAUCGCAAGACCUCGCGCGAAUGGAGCGGCCGAUGGCAGAUUAGGUAGUUGGUGGGGUAAAGGCUCACCAAGCCAACGAUCUGUAGCUGGUCUGAGAGGACGACCAGCCACACUGGGACUGAGACACGGCCCAGACUCCUACGGGAGGCAGCAGUGGGGAAUUUUGGACAAUGGGCGCAAGCCUGAUCCAGCCAUUCCGCGUGCAGGAUGAAGGCCUUCGGGUUGUAAACUGCUUUUGUACGGAACGAAACGGCCCUUUCUAAUACAGAGGGCUAAUGACGGUACCGUAAGAAUAAGCACCGGCUAACUACGUGCCAGCAGCCGCGGUAAUACGUAGGGUGCAAGCGUUAAUCGGAAUUACUGGGCGUAAAGCGUGCGCAGGCGGUUAUGUAAGACAGUUGUGAAAUCCCCGGGCUCAACCUGGGAACUGCAUCUGUGACUGCAUAGCUAGAGUACGGUAGAGGGGGA
rnacentral:rRNA from 1 species